rnacentral:lncRNA from 1 species
AGAGCUGGAGAUAUAAGCCGGCGCGUUGCAAACAGUACACUAACUGUGUGGACCGCGCCCGGGGACUACAGCUCAGCUCAGCCGAGCAGAUCAGCUCAGCCAAGCAGAUCAAAGCAGAGAAGGGCAAAUUCAUCGCGAGGGCGUCAGCGGGACCAUGGAGAACGGGGAGCGAGUGCCCCGGAGAUGUAAAGAGGCCUGGCUUGGAGCGUGGUAUCAGGGGCAAGGCGACAGAGCCGCGGGGCAGCCGGCGCUGGCAGGGGCGCGCGCGGGAAUCGAGCAGGGGUGGCGCCAUCAAAGCAGGAAGAGAACAGGUUAGUAGAGAAUAGUCUGUUCAGAAAAAGCCGGUAUGCGUGUGCGUGCGCGCACGCGUCGGGGUGUGAGUAUAGAGGGAACAUACUCCCCCACCCACGUAAAGAGAAGAGGUUUUCUCAACCCAUGUGGUCAUCACAGAUUCCCAUUACACAGUCUAGGUAAAUCCCCAAGGUAUUGUUGGAGCCCAUAUUUAGAGUUCCUCUUUCAAGGAGACAUUACUCACGUCCUUGUCACUUCUCUACACGGUGGAGGCCCAAGUCGAGGAUGGAGACUCCAAGGAGAAGGAAAUUCUUAUUCAUCGAACUGAGCAAAGACCUUGACCUCUCCCUCCCACUUCACCUUUGAAAACCCCUAUUAAAUGCUUUGGUUCUUGAAAUCCCAGCCCCAGUCUCCAGCAUUAGGGAGCACAGUGGCUUUGGGGUGCCCAGGGAUUUAAGGUGUUCUUGGGAGACUGAUGGCCUGUGAGGAGGUCCUGUAAGCUGUGGUUAGAUCUGCUGGGUGGCCAGGGCUUCACCCUUCCAUCAUUUCCGUUGCACCUCUUGGGGAUGCUAUUCGAUUAACUUUUACCAUCUCACUGCUCCUCUCUUGUCCAUCAUUCUGUGACUCAUUUCUAUUGCCACCACCCAUCCCCUUACCCAGAUACAUCCCUGAGGGUGGCCUGGUGUAUGGUAGAGUCAUCUGGUUUCAAAGACAGUGUUUUGAAGAAAAAGAUUUCCUCAGGAGGCUUGGUUAGUUGUGAUCAGCUCUCAGUCUCCCCCUUUCUAACCCCGCCCCAUCCCUUCUCCUUGGUUUUUCCAGGUAGGUGUGAGAGAAUUGGGCUGAAAUUGUGAGAAAAAUUCCUGGUUGAUUUUUGGGGAUGUCUGGGUUCUCAGUAAGUGUAUGCCUUAGGUCUCUGAAGGGCAAAGAACCUUGGACCUUGGCGAAGAGAAAGAAAGAUGGAAGAAGGCAGGGAAGAAAAAAAAAAAAAGGAGGAAGGGAAAGUUGCAAAAAAGGUUCAAGUGCUGUGGACCUGAACCAUGAUUUAAGGAGUCAAAGUCUUUGGAGCUUGUUAGCAAGUUUUUAAUUCAUUUUCAGACUGAGCCUAUUACAUGCCCUUGCUUUAUACCAGAGGAAAGACUUCAAAGCACAAGUUAUUUGCCUAAAAAGACAAAGUUGGAAAUAGAAUCCAGGCUGAGUUCUGCUUCCCGGUAGACCAGAAAUUCUGAAACUUUGUUUUUGAAUCAGACUUACAUAAGAAAUAGAGAUUAUGGGGCUUCUGCCCAGAAUUCUCAAUCUGUAAGGAUGGGCUCCAGAGUCUGUAUUUUCCACAAGUUGCUGCUGAGAAACAUGCAGUCAGUUCUGCUCCAGCCAUGGACAACCAGAGUUGUGGCCUGGGUUUGCCUUUUUUUUUUUUUCCGGUCAAUCAAAACAGUUAUUAGCUCUCAGUAUUUGAGUAGUGGGUCCAAAACAAAAUUAGGUUUAUCUCUGCCCUCAAGGAUUACAUUUUGAGUGUUUCUAGCAAAUAGGUAGGGUACUAAGGAAGACUGUAUUGGGCUUAUCAGGCUGCCCCAAGAAGGGCCUUAAUCCCAUUUUGAGUGUACUCCUAAUCUUUCCUCUUCUGGCCCAGCCCUUUCACACUCCUCAAUUUGAUUAUUUCACUGUACUUCUCUGUAGACUGUAAUCCCUUUCUCUCUAAAUCUUUGUCAUAAAGGAGUUCCCCUUAUGGUGCAGUGGGAACACAGAAAUGAAUCCAAAACGAAUCUGACUAGGAACCAUGAGGUUGUGGGUUCAAUACCUGGCCUCGCUCAGUGGGUUAAGGAUCCAGUGUUGCCAUGAGCUGUGGUGUAGGCUGGCAGGUGUAGCUCUGAUUCAGCCACUAACCUGAGAACCUCCAUAUGCGUCGGGGCAGCCCUAAAAAGCAAAUAAAUAAAUAAUUUAAAACAAAAAAAAGGGAACAAAAAACCCCAACUGUGUCCUUACAGAUAUUAACCUGCCAGUAGUAGCAAAACUGGAGUUGGGGAGAAAAAAAAAAUUAUCAAAAAAGGAGUUCCUGUCGUGGCGCAGUGGUUAACGAAUCCGACUAGGAACCAUGAGGUUGCGGGUUCGAUCCCUGCCCUUGCUCAGUGGGUUAAGGAUCCAGCGUUGCCGUGAGCUGUGGUGUAGGUUGCAGACGCGGCUCGGAUCCUGCGUUGCUGUGGCU